AACGAUCCCGUAAUUCCGUGAUCCCGUAAUUCCGUGAUCCCGUAAUUCCGUGAUCCCGGGGCGGGCCCGCGCAAUAGCAAGCGCUCAUUUGCAUGGCACCGCCCCCUCGUUUGCAUAGUCCCGCCCACCCGCGCCCCUCCCGCGGAUGCGGCGUCACCGGGCGCGUCUCCCCGGCAACGGCGCCGCGGGUUCGAGUCCCGGCCCCGCCGGGCCCUUCGUGUGUCCCCCGUGUCCCCUUCCCUGUCCCCCUGUCUGUCCCCCAGUCUGUCCCCCCGGCCAUGCUCCGCGACGAGGACACCGAGGCGGAUUUCCAGCGCUUCCUGCGCCGCGUGGACGAUGCAAUUUGCUGCAAGGCCUGAAGUCCACAGACUCGGCUGUCAAGGAAAAAGCCCUUGCUGAGGCAGAGAGAAGGCUCCAGGAGGAAGGAGCCAGCAAAGAGGAGGAAACCAAGACCACAGUGAACAGGACAGUCAUCAACACCCGAGCCUCUGGCCCAGCAGAGGCAGCAAAUGCAGAUGCUUUCCUGGCAAUGCUGGAGAAGGAUGCAAAGGAACGAGCUCAACAGAGGAAGAGAAAGGAGCAGCUGGCAAAUGCUCUGAAGGAGAAGGGGAACGAGGACUUCAGGAGAGGAGACUUUGCCGGGGCCAUCCAGAGCUACUCGGAGGGGCUGCGGAAGCUCCGGGACAAGCAGGAGCUGUACACCAACAGGGCACAGGCCUACCUGAAGAUCCAGGAGUAUGAAAAAGCCAUUGGUGACUGUGAAUGGGCAUUAAAGUGCAAUGAGAAAUGUAUUAAAGCCUAUUUUCUGAUGGGGAAGGCUCACCUGGCACUGAAACACUACCCUGAGUCCAGGCAGUGUUAUGAGAAGAUGCUGCAGGUUGAUCCCCAGAAGGAAAGCCUGUUCAAAGCUUGUGUGGCCGAGGUGGACUUGGAGGAGAAGAGGGUGAAGGAUGAAGAGAGAGCCAGGAAGGAGGUUCAGGCUGGAAAUGUUGCUGCCCUGUCCAUAAAAGAGCUGCUGCAGAGACUCAGCAGCCCUGGCCAGGAUAUCCUGUUCUACACAGGAGGGAUCAGGCUUUUGGCAGCAGUUGUGAAGGACUGCACUGAGCAAACGUUGUUUAGAACAAACAAUGGCUUCAGUAUCCUCGGAGACAACGGGGCUGUUGGAGGGUGCCUCUGUGCAGAGAGGAGAAGCCCAGCUGAAGUGGAGCUGUGUGUGUCCCUCCUGGUGCUGUGGCAGGCUGUGUGUGCUGGCAAUGAAGAAAAUCAGCGUCUCCUGCUGACUCAGCCUGCUGUGAGUGCCCAGCUGCCAGAGCUGCUUUCCUCUGGGAUUCCAGAGAUCCAAAGGGAGACACUGGCACUGAUUUCUCUUUACUCAGAGAGUGAGAGAGGGAGGAAGCUGCUGGUCAGGCACCAGGACCUGAGCAGAUGGCUGCAGAUUCUGCUGGCAUUUGUCAAGAGCAGCGAUGGCAGGGCUGGCAGGGCCAUGGACAUACUGUCUGACUUAAUUGCAGAGGAAAGGUUCAAAGCCCAGUGUCAGGCCCAGCUUUCCACGGGUGCUUUGCCUUUAUUCACCCAGUUGCUGGCCUGUGCCAGGGGGGUGGACCUGGCAGCCCUGUCCUGUGCCAUCGGCAUCAUGGGCAGCCUGUGUGCAGAUCCCGGGAUCCGCUCCCGCGUGGCCCAGAGCAGGGAGUGCUGGCAGGGCUGCCUGCAGCUGCUGGAGGAGAGUCCUGAGGGCAGCACACCCAGCUACCAGGAGUGUGUGUUUGCAUUGCUGGGCCUGAUGAUGAACUUGCUGCUUGAAUCCAAUGGGACCAUCCAGGACUUUGCUGUGGCCGUCACUGGCAGGUGCCUGGCUCUGCUCAGCCACCAGGACGGGAGGAUUGUCACAAGAGCCAUUGGGGUGCUGAGCCGUGUGCUGCCAGCGUCCUCCUCAGCGGUGGAGGAGGCAGUGAAAGCAGGAGUGGUGAAGAAAAUGGUCAAAUUCUUGAAAGCUGGAGGGCAGCUCACAGCCACUUAUGGCAUAAAGACCCUCUGCAUCUGCACCAAGAGCAGCAGGCAGGCCCAGGAAGAGCUGGUGAAGGCAGAUAAAAGGUUUGCGGUGCUGCUGCGGCUCCUGCGCUCACAGGAGGAGAUGGUGGGGGGCAAUGCUGCCUUCUGCCUCAGCCAGUGCCUGGGGGUGCCCGGGGCAGGCACAGCCCUGCUGGGCUCCAACGUGGUGCUGCUGCUGCUGAGCCUGGCCGGGGGGGACGCUGCCAGCCCCGCCGUGCGGGAGAACGCGGCCGUGGCCCUGGGGAAGCUCUGUGCUGCUGAGCCCAGGCACAUUCCCCAGCUGAGGAAGCUCAAUGGCCUGGCCAUCCUGAACUCCUCCAUGAAAUACGUGCACAGCAGCUGAACCCUCCAGAGACCCUCCAAACAUGUUCUUCAUCCCACUUAUUACAACUUUGAGAGUGGGAAAAAGCCGAGGUGACCUGCCCUUGGUUCCCAGCUGGAGAGCAAGCAGCAAAUGCCCAGUUCUGGGAGGCAGCAGUGACUCCUCGGGGAGCUGCUUCCUGUCAGGAUGUAUUUUCU